rnacentral:lncRNA from 1 species
GACCACUGAACGGACAGAAUUUUUCCUGUACGUCCUAGGCGUCGCAAUCAAUACAAUGUACGAAGUUCCAACCAGGAACACAUUUCAAUCAAGGAUUGCAUAAGGAAGUAUCAAAAACAUAAAACUACUUACUAUUACAAGCAUUCACCUUACAUGUAUUUUACAUCACAGAUUUUUUUUACAUUCAACUUCCAAAAUAUAAUCUAGUCAAUACAAUUUAUUAACAACU